rnacentral:tRNA from 1 species
ACCUGGGUGACUCAGUCGGUUGAGCGUCUGACUUCAGCUCAGGUCACGAUCUCAUGCUUCGUGGGUUCCAGCCCCACAUCAGGCU